GGGCAGGUUCCAGAGUGGCCAAAUGGGGCGGGCUGUAAACCCGCUGCGGAAACGCUUCGGAGGUUCGAAUCCUUCCCUGCCCACCA
rnacentral:tRNA from 1 species